AUUGAACGCUGGCGGCAUGCUUUACACAUGCAAGUCGGACGGCAGCACAGAGAAGCUUGCUUCUUGGGUGGCGAGUGGCGAACGGGUGAGUAACAUAUCGGAACGUACCGAGCAGUGGGGGAUAACUAAUCGAAAGAUUAGCUAAUACCGCAUAUCUUCUGAGGAAGAAAGCAGGGGACCAUUGGGCCUUGCGCUGUUUGAGCGGCCGAUAUCUGAUUAGCUAGUUGGUGGGGUAAAGGCCUACCAAGGCGACGAUCAGUAGCGGGUCUGAGAGGAUGAUCCGCCACACUGGGACUGAGACACGGCCCAGACUCCUACGGGAGGCAGCAGUGGGGAAUUUUGGACAAUGGGCGCAAGCCUGAUCCAGCCAUGCCGCGUGUCUGAAGAAGGCCUUCGGGUUGUAAAGGACUUUUGUCAGGGAAGAAAAGGGCGGGGUUAAUACCCCUGUCUGAUGACGUACCUGAAGAAUAAGC
rnacentral:rRNA from 1 species